GGCCAGCAACCGGGGGCGAAUUUCGAAUGUGUGCUGCUGCCGGAUGACNACUCGUUGUAUGUGAUCGCGUCCGACGCGGGUUACGGUUUCGUGGUCAAGGGUGAANACCUGCAAGCCAAGAACAAGGCGGGCAAGGCGCUGUUGAGCUUGCCGAACAAUGCCAAGGUGAUCCUGCCGCGGCCGGUGGAGGAUCGCGANAGCAACUGGCUGGCAUCGGUGACCACCGAAGGGCGCUUGCUGGUAUUCAAGAUCAGCGACCUGCCGCAGUUGGGUAAAGGCAAGGGCAACAAGAUUAUUGGUAUUCCCGGCGAGCGCGUGGCCAGCCGCGAAGANUUCGUGACCGAUAUCGCCGUGAUCCCGGACGGCGCGACCUGGUGCUGCAGGCCG
rnacentral:rRNA from 1 species